rnacentral:tRNA from 1 species
ACCUUCGUAGUGUAGUGGUCAGCACACUCGGCGCGUAACCAACAGGUCCGUGGUUCGAUUCUCGGCGAAGGCG